rnacentral:tRNA from 1 species
GCCCCGGUAGUGUAGCGGUCUAGCAUACGGCCCUGUCGAGGCUGUGACCCGGGUUCAAAAGGCCGACACGUUUGACGUGUCUCUGUGAUUCCCGGCUGGGGCGCCA